UGGGAGGUGUUUUAAUUAUUGGGGUGGGUCUUUCCUGCACUAUUCUCAUGAUAGUGAAUGAGUCUCAUGAUAUCUGAUGGUUUUACAAAUGGGAGUUUCCCUGAACUAGCUCUCUCUUUGCCUGCAGCCAUCCACAUAAGAUGUGACUUGGUCCUCUUUGCCUUCCGUCAUGAUUGUGAGGCCUCCCUAGCCAUGUGGAACUAUUAGUUCUGCCUUGAAGACAGUUCACAACCUCAGACUACCCUUUGGUCUUGUGAGCCACAGUCAUUACAGAAAAAUGAUCAACAUCAUGAUGUGUCCAUGGUUAUUUCAUUGAGUCUGGCCAAUACUUAACAUUUCAAGGUACUUACUUGGCAUUGAAUAUUAUCUAAGUUAAAAAUUUACAAAGCCUACUAGAUAUUUGGGAGUUACAUUGAGUUUAGAAAUAAAGGAAAUUAUCCAUUCA
rnacentral:lncRNA from 13 species